AGUGAACGCUGGCGGCGUGCCUAAUACAUGCAAGUCGAACGCGAAAGUCCUUCGGGAUGAGUAAAGUGGCGCACGGGUGCGUAAUACAUGGGAACAUGCCCUUGGAUGGGGAAUAACGUUUGGAAACGAACGCUAAUACCGCAUAAUCUCGCGAGAGUAAAGGUGGCGCCGCAAGGGCUACCGUCCAAGGAUUGGCCCAUGUCCCAUUAGCUAGUUGGCGGGGUAAUGGCCCACCAAGGAAACGAUGGGUGACUGGUCUGAGAGGAUGAUCAGUCACACUGGAACUGAGACACGGUCCAGAAUCCUACGGGAGGCAGCAGUAGGGAAUAUUGCACAAUGGGGGAAACCCUGAUGCAGCCACGCCGCGUGAGUGAAGAAGGCCCUUGGGUUGUAAAGCUCUUUAGCGUGGGAAGAAGGUAGAUAUGGUGAAUAAUCAUGUUUGCUGACGGUACCACGAGAAUAAGCACCGGCUAAUUUCGUGCCAGCAGCCGCAGUAAGAC
rnacentral:rRNA from 1 species